UAAUAUUUUAUUUUUUAAGACCACUAAUAUUAAACAUAUCAAAUCAUCCUAAUUUAGAAAAGAUUAUAUAAAACCAAAAAUGU
rnacentral:sRNA from 1 species